AGAAUAUCUAAUGAUAUGAAAAAUGUCCAUACUAUAUCACAUAAAAACCAGUUUCAAAAUGUUAUUAUGCACAGUACGAUCAUAUCUGGAUCGGUGAAUAUGAACACAAGUACAGCAGAGACUGAAAGAAAGUACGUCAAAUGUUAAUGGGAAUUAUCUCCAGCCCACAGAUGCCUUAAAGACUGUACAAAUUUCCACAUUUUAUGCCAAGAUGCCGGUUAAUUGUACAGACGAGACAACUACAGCAGGAGCGCGAGGAAACGCUUCCCAGCGCAGAAAAGUGAAGAUACUGACCCAAGACUUACUCCGGGUAAAGUUUGCGUAUCCAAAACCUGAAAGCAGCUCACCUACUUUUUGAUGUCCAUUUAGCCCUGUUCCUUUUCGGGAAAGAGGCCACCUCGGGCUGUGCGUUCUCCGGGGGUCUCUCUUGCCUUUUACAUACAACCUUCUCCUGAACCCCUGUAUGGCCCUUACUGUGUACAAGGGAAAACAAGGCAGUUUGCAGAGCUCCGGAAACCACGAGUGGCAAGUGUGGUAGCUGGGCCUGGCUUCGCCCUCUCCAGCAAGGCUACAGAUGCCUCCAGAUUCCAGCGGGCCACGUCAACGGAAUCAUCUGGAGUAUUCGAAAUUGAUUUGAAUAUUCAAUACAGAUCAUCGCAGCAGAACUCAUGGAUGAGAAAUAAUGUGAAUCCAUCGCCAUCGAUUAGCUAAUUUAUGUUCUACAACUAAUUGAAGCACAAAUCUCAUUAGCCACAGUCACUGCCACAAGAUGGAGUGGAGAUUAAUGCCAGGCCAUUUCCUGUGCUUGUUAUACUCUUUGUCAUUAGAAUAAAACAUCAUAAUUUGAGCAUCUCAUGGAUACUGAGAAGGACGGCCGCGGAGGGGUGGCCACGCCGAGCACUGGCCAAACCCUAAUAGUGUGGCUCUCUUUGACUGGGCCGCUGCAGCCAUCGGCAGACGUACUGCUUAUGAAGGGCUUUGCGACCUGCGAAGCGCUCUCCAAGAGCGAGAAAGGAAGACAACGAGAUCGGAGUUCACCUCCCAGAUCAACACUCCUGACUGUGCGAACUGGGUCAAGACAGCUAGGCGAGCCUGCCUCCCCAUCUGUAGAAAAGAGGCUAAAACCACUCACCACAUUAGGGCUCUUGUAAAGGAGAUGGUGAAGAUGAGGUGCCUGGAAUGGGGCCUGACGUAGAUUCAUUGCCCCAUAAAUGGUGGCUAUAAUUGUGGGUGAUGGUCAUUGCCUAUGUCAUCAUCUUCCUCAUCAUUAAAUGUAGAUUCAUUAAUAUUCCGACGAGGCAAGUAACAACACUAAGGACUGCUCACUCCAGGCAGUUUUCCGUCACAGGAUUUUUUGUGUGAACAGAGUCUUACCUAGAGGUCCUGCCCGUUUCACAGUCAACUGCAGAACUGCUUUGGUUCAAGAGGGAACGGGACGCCUGAGCGGCUCAGACAGUUAAGUGUCCAACUUCGGCUCAGGUCACAAUCUCACAGUCCGUGAGUUUGAGCCCCGCAUCGGGCUCUGUGCUGACAACUCAGGGCCCGGAGCCUGCUUCAGAUUCUGUGUCUCCCUCUCUCUCUGCUCCUCCCCCUGCUUGCACUCUGCCUCUCUCUCUAAAAUAAAUAAACAUUUC